GUUGAGAAGUGUGGAUCAUUUUGGAGGGAUUUCAGAACAGUGUUUUGUUGUAUACUCUUAAAUCCAGCAUAGAGAGAGGAGGACGUGUGUUGUUCCAAAAUAUCAGGGACUCACAAUUAAAAGACACAACAGAGGACAGCCACUGGAAAAGAUGCUGUAUUGCAGCUUUCUUCAUUGCAAGGCCUGGGAGCCUGUGGCAUAGGGAUGUGCAUAAGGUCUGAUUUGACAUGAUCCCUUUUGAGGUAGAAGAGUCAUCACAAGGUGUACCCGUCGCUAACCCCAUGCGUGGCAGCUCUCACGAGAGUUUGCAAGCGAGCUGCCAGCAGGGGAAGAGGAAAGUGUUGCCGCCGGUGGACAGGCUUGCGGGGAGAAAAUGAUGGUGGCGGAAGGCUGUGGGGGGACAGCGAUGGCGGACAAAGAAAAUGGCAGAGGCCAGGGAGUGGGGGAGAAAAGAGUGGCGGGGGGAGAACCAGAGGCACAGAUGUUCUGUGCCCAGCUAGUAUUUUUUUUUUUUUACUUGCCACAAUUCCUAGAGCUUUAGGAUGAAGCUGAUUGCAAAAUACAUUUUAUUAAUGCAGACAAUCACUUUGCAGUGUGUUGGGGUGUUGUUGUUUUUUUUGUUAGCUUGUUUAGCAAAGGCCUGUCACCUGCUUUCAGCUUAUGCAAAGUGGACUUGUGCAUGGAUGCUUAGGGGUGGGCCAUUGUCCAAAGCUAAUUUUUGCAACCCAAGCAGCAAUACAUUUUAAUGAAUUAUAGUCUUUAAUUCUUGUCAGCAUGAAUAACUGGCCAGCCAUGGUACAUUAAUUAAGAAUACACACAAUAGGGGAAGGCAGAUUGCUAUUUUAAUAUCCAAAAGAGGUGAAUUUUUCUGGCACAUAGUAUAUCCAUGGUGUAAAUGUUCUCUACUGCAUGUUCUGCAGUUUGGUGUUAUAAAUUACUAACUGUAUUACUGCUAUAAUCAGUGUACCAUUGCACCUAAGAUUUCUCAUUAUAUCACAGUAACAACAAGUUGUUCUGAUAAAAACUAA